rnacentral:snoRNA from 1 species
UGCAAGUGAUGUUUUUCUCACAAUGGUCUUCUGAGCCUUGUGGUUGUGAUGACGCUGCCUAAUGGCAACAUUGCAGAAUA